GCGGUAUUUCUUCACUGUCGUGGUUUGCCGGAGAGCUAGAAAUCGGGUGCGUAGGGAGCCGUCUUGCGAAGGCUGAAAAAGGUACUGCAAAUGAACCUUCAAUUCCUCCCAAUUAUUCAUUGGUCACCGGCAUUCCUCCCACUAAAACCAUGCUAGGGCAUCUCCAUCUAAGCACAUGGCGGCGGCAUCCCCUUUUUCCUUCUCUGUUAGUCGGUUUAUAAUGAAAUAUCGCUCCACCUUGAAUAUCCACCCAUCCGGGUCAGUUCCAUCGAACACCGACAUGUCUAGACCCCAAAUGUGUGAUUCUGUUCUCCCUCCAUCGUCAAAUCUACCUUCUUUGUCCUAGUUUCCUCCCGAACUUGCCUGUGCACCCAUUAAACCAAAUGAUGAAUCGAACAACUAUGGGUUGACCAUCCUCUUUUCUUUCCAUUCCAUUUCCUGUGACUCCAAUGAUCUAAACAUUAGCUUAAAUAUCCAUUUCAAAUCUGCUUGCAGUUGUUGGAAGUCGGUCCAUAAAGCAUCCAUGCCGGACCGUAAAGCUAAUUGGUUGGCUGUAACUUGUUGCUUCAAAAAUCCCAUGGGAUUUGUAAGUGUUAUGGUUAGAUUAGGUGCUCUGAUACCACUUGGUAGACUGAAGAUCAAGAAUUAAGUAAGCUAGAAAUUUUUUUUAUGAAUUCCUUUAAUUGAAAACUGAAAAUACAAAAGGAAAAUC
rnacentral:lncRNA from 1 species